UACACGGCGUUUCCUUACCUGUGGGGCAGAUGUUCUCUUACCUCCAUGGGGUUGAUGAGGGUCUGGGAGAUGGCCACAGCCAGGGAACCAGCGAGGAGACGCUCCUGGAAGGGCGGGGACCCUUGUAUUCCACAGAAGUAAUUCUUGCACUGGGAGAGGAGAGAGGAGGAUGAGAGAGAAGUCAGCCACCCUCCGACACAAAACCCACGCAGGGAAGAGGCCUGGGGUCUGCAGGGUGAGCGUGUGUCUUGAACAAGGGCCUGGAGUUUUGGGGGUGUGGGAGGGGUUUGGGCUUGAGCUGGGGGAAGCAGACCCCUCGUUCCCCACCUGCUCGAAUACGGAGAACUUGAUGGCAUACUCAGGAGCAAUCUUGAGCACGUUGAUGCCGUUGCCCCGCCACAGGGAGCGGAAGCCUCCCUCCUGGACCAUGCUCUGUAGCCCCCCCAGCAGGACUUCCACAGGAACCAUCAGCUGCUCUCCUGUGUCCAGCACCUGCAGGGCAGACCCGGCCCUCCCUCAUCCUCAGCCAGAAUCUUGCUGCGUUGCCCUGGCUCGAGUGCAGU